rnacentral:rRNA from 2 species
AGCGGCGGACGGGUGAGUAACACGUGGGUAACCUGCCUGUAAGACUGGGAUAACUCCGGGAAACCGGGGCUAAUACCGGAUGGUUGUCUGAACCGCAUGGUUCAGACAUAAAAGGUGGCUUCGGCUACCACUUACAGAUGGACCCGCGGCGCAUUAGCUAGUUGGUGAGGUAACGGCUCACCAAGGCGACGAUGCGUAGCCGACCUGAGAGGGUGAUCGGCCACACUGGGACUGAGACACGGCCCAGACUCCUACGGGAGGCAGCAGUAGGGAAUCUUCCGCAAUGGACGAAAGUCUGACGGAGCAACGCCGCGUGAGUGAUGAAGGUUUUCGGAUCGUAAAGCUCUGUUGUUAGGGAAGAACAAGUGCCGUUCAAAUAGGGCGGCACCUUGACGGUACCUAACCAGAAAGCCACGGCUAACUACGUGCCAGCAGCCGCGGUAAUACGUAGGUGGCAAGCGUUGUCCGGAAUUAUUGGGCGUAAAGGGCUCGCAGGCGGUUUCUUAAGUCUGAUGUGAAAGCCCCCGGCUCAACCGGGGAGGGUCA